UACAGUGAAAUGGCAUUUUUCACCCUGGGCGUCCAACAUAAGUUUCCCGACUUCUUUUCCUCGGAAAUCGCAGAGAAAUCAAAAAGGAAAAAACUGUGCUCUGCACAUGAUCGGCGAUUCGAUUCCACUUCGUGAGAUCUGUGCGAUCUUUGCUUCAGUUAGGGUUUUGAGGAUCCAAAUAUCAAUUCUUUGUGGGUUUGAUUUGUCAAGAGUUUUGCCUUCUGGGUAGUUCUACCUUCAGCUCCAGAAGAACCUUCAAUGAAAAAAGUUACCAGAGAAAAGGGUGAUGAAUUUGACAAAGUUUGAUGCUUUUUAGGAUCGGUAGGCCACCAUUUCUAUCUGACUCCACAGUUUCCAGUUUCUAUUUGCACAAAGAACUUUCAGACAGGGUAUAACUUCUUCAGAAAUUUAGAGAUGAAGGAAUUCAAGUUGGAGACUUUGAGUUCAGUCUCUCCAAGUAGGAGAAAGAGAAGGAUCUGAAUGGGAGCAAGGCACGCCAUGGAACAAGCAAGCUCAUGAGAAUGUUAACGUUCAAGGGACUCGGGGGAGGGUGACUGAUCAACUGAAAAAAACUGAGCAGGGUCAGAUCCAGUAUUCCGAGAAGUACUUCAAUGAUAUCUACGAGUACAGGCAUGUGGCUAAACUGCUCCCAAAAAAUGGGCUUCUGUGCGAGGUAAUUUAUUAGGGUUUUCACUUUUUUUUAUUGUAAUAUGUCCUUUUGAGAAAUGCUUUGAGAUUUGUUUGUGUUAUUUUGGGUUUUGUGUAAUCUUGGAAUCUUUCCUUUUUCUUCAGUGGGCUUUUCGGUUUCGUUUACAGUUCUUUUGAGUGUCCAUGAAUUUUCAAUGCUGGAUUUCUGUGGAUUUUGUUAUUUGAAGAGGGAAACUAUGGAUUGGUUUGUUACUUGGUACAUACGUCGUUUAUAUGCAUCAAAUUAUAUACAUUCCUCCCUACUCAAAUGUUCAAAUGUAUUCAUUUAUGUAUGUUUGCGCAUUCACUUUCGUAUAUGUGCGUUAACUGCCAUAUAUACAAUACACCCAUUUAGAUUUGGUUAAAUGAAUAAUGUACGUAUACGAAUUGGUCAUUUCACACGUAUAGAUUGAUAGUUAGAUUGAAUCAAAAUUUCGUGAAUUGGUCAUACACUUUACGUGAUUUCUAUGCGGGAAUGCUGGUGAAUGCCUUAUUUAAUUUCCAAGAAAUUGAAGCUGAGAAUGUGGUAUUUUCCUUUUGCUAUGGAGAGUAGUGGAUUUUGUGGUGCAGUAAAUAUGAGGCCCAAUAAAAGUGUUUUUUUUUCCUUCUCUUAUAUUCAUCUGUUUUCAAUAUUGGAUUGGAUUUGCAUUAAGGGUUUUGUUGAUCUGAUAUUAUUGAUAAAAUACUAGAAAACCCACCUGAACUUAAGCACUUUUAGGGGUUUGUUCUGCUUUUGGUUCACUUAAUAUUCAUACCUGUUUAUGUUUUUACUUUUUAAGUGUGUUUUUAAGUUUUUUUUUUUUUUUUUUUUGUUCUUUGUAAGAAUGUCUCCAACAUGGUUUCUUUUUCGCACAUCCUUUCAAUAAUUUAGAUUGACUUCACCCCUAGUCCAUUGACAGUUACUUUGUAGACGUUAGGGAUGGGUCUUCUUCUUCAGCUUAGUGGGCACCGUACCUUUAGCAGAGCGUCUAGGUAAUGCGACUGAGGCAUCGGAUGUUCAACUUAACAUCACAAGUAAAUUGCAUUGGUUCUUUCCAUUGAAUUUAUGCUUUGGCCUUGCUCAACUGAAGUCCUUCCCGAGAGACCUGGAGCACCAGAUUGUCCUUACUUUAUGAAGACUCAAAGAUGCAAAUUUGUAUACCGUGCAAGUUUAAUCAUCCGAAGGACAAAGUUACUACAACUUUCCAUAAAGUGGUUCCAAUGAUAUAGUUUCAUAUAUAAUACUCUUAGGCCUCGUUUGUUUGACCUCCUUAGCUAGGACUGGACUGGCUAGGACUAAUAACCCAUGUUUGGUGCAAGUCGGGAUUGAGUUUAGUGGGAUUAAGUCGACUCGUGCCGACUAAAUCCUUCGUUAGCUGGGCUUAGUGAGAGCCCCCGAAAAGGAGAGGAUUGCUAGUCCCGUUUCCCCGCUUCCCCGCUUCCCCUCACUUUGCCUCACCCCACGCCUGUGAACUUGCCCUCCCACUGUCUUUCUCCCCACCUCCCUCUUGUCUGUCCAUAAGAUCUCUAAGUCAGAGACCCAGAAAACCCAAAAAAAGCCAAAAACCCAGAGAUCGAAAGCAGAUUCAUAUAAAAUAUACCAAAUUGAAGCUGGGAGUGACAAAAUUACGAUUCUACCUAAAUCGAGGCCAAAAGGAGGUUGAAUGUGGCUGGAAAAUGGUAUGGAAGUCUCGGCCUGUUUGGGCUUCUUCGAAUCCAUGACAUAUUCGAGCAUGCAAAGCUAAGAUCUUGGUCUAGGGAUGGUGUGGAAUUUUUUGGCAGUGCCAACUUCAUCCAAUUCAACGAGGGUUGGCCGAAAAACAUGUCGGGAAACCUGCAACUCGUCGGGAAAAAUGGAGCUGUGAGGUUCUGUUCGAACAACGCACAGCUAGAGAGGGAGGGAGGAUAGAGAAAUAGAGAUUGGAAUCGAUAAGGAGCUUGACCGGGAAUGAGAGAAAGACAGGAAUUGAGAGGUUUGGGAGGAAAAAAAGAGGGAGAGGGUGGGACGAAGAACUGAGAGAAGAGGGAGAAAGUGGGACGAAAAUGGUAGGAAAAGAUGGAGAAAAUGGUAGGAAAAGAUGGAGAAAAAGAUAAGAUCAUAAUAAAAUAUUAAUAAUUUAUAGAUUAAAUAAUAUAAUAUUAGAAUUUGUUAUUAUCCAGCUUCUUAGUCCAACAUUGCACCAAACGCUUCACUAAGAUAAUCCGGCUUAAUCUAGUCUAAGCCAGUCCAGUUUAGUCCUUGAAGCUAGUCCAGUCCGAGAUAGUCUGGCGCAACAAACGCACCCUUACACUCUCUUUUACUAAUUUUUGUUACACAAUCAAUCACUCACAGGGUCAUACUAUUCAUAGAACCCUAAAACCCAAAUUUCUCCAGAUCAUUCCAAAAUUCAAUGGCAAACACAAAACCCAGAUCCCUAAACUCACUCGAUAACGUGUCAAAGGCUGGGCAUCCAGUUCUCUCAUGUUGCUCCCGUUGGAUCCAGUAUGCUUUUGCUGCUGCCAAUCUACAGGUCGUACCCAGUGCACAAGGCUCCCGCUUUACGCAGGGUCUGGGAGAGAUGAAUGUCGGCUAGCCUUACCCCCAUUUAUGGAGAGACUGCUGCCAAUCUACAGGUUUUGGGUACUAAGUCAAAAUUUUGUUGGAUAGGAACCCAUAAACAAGUAUGAGGAAGUGUGUGAAUCAUCACUCAGCAAGGGUGAUUGGUGAUAGAAAUUGGGUUAUUCCAUUCAUUACUGGCUUUAUCAUAUUCAUUACCCUCUUUUUCUUAAAAGGGUUUUGGCUCUGGAAGGAGAUGGAGAUCGGUGACAAUGAUCGGAGUUCAUCGCUGUGUGGAUGAUCCCAGUGUAGCGCUGGUUUUCAACUGUGGUGAUUUGUAGGGUUUUGGGGGCGUGAAUUUUGGGGGAUUUUGUUUGGGUUUUUGGUUAGGUGUCACUAGAUGGUCUACUAAAGCAGCUAAGGGUAUUGAAAUCAGUUAUGGUUGAUUGGUGGUGGGGAAUUGUAGAGGGAUAUGGUGGAUAUGAGUAUAAUUGGAAUGGAUACAAGAGGCUCUUUUAGAUGGUACAGGCCUGUUUUAUAUAAAUACGUUUUUUCACUUGCAGAAGCUCUUCUCUCUCAGUGGGCAUAUAAACACCACCUGUGGUUAAUUGUUUUGCAAUCUUUGUGGUCCUUUUUAUUCUUUCCAUGGUUUCCUGUAAUGCUUGGCAAAGUUUUGAGAAUUAGUCUCUACAAUGUGGGAACCAAGGAACUCACUUCCCCUUCAUGCUCUGAAUUCACACUUAGUCUGGAGAUUAUAUAAUCAUUUGGGCAUGGUUUCUCUCUAGGAUAAAGCUUCUGUCUGUCUAUAUAUAUGGAAUUGGGUUUGUGUAAUUAAUGUCAAAUAAUUGAGUGAAAGAGUUAAGCUCUCCUUUUACGCAACAAA